rnacentral:rRNA from 1 species
UACGGAGGUGGCGAGCGUUGUUCGGAAUUACUGGGCGUAAAGGGCGCGUAGGCGGGCGGAGAAGUCGGGUGUGAAAGCCCUCGGCUCAACCGAGGAAUGGCGCUCGAGACUCUUCUUCUUGAGUCCCGGAGAGGCGGGUGGAAUUCCUGGUGUAGCGGUGAAAUGUGUAGAGAUCAGGAGGAACACCGGUGGCGCAGGCGGCCCGCUGGACGGAGACUGACGCUGAGGCGCGAAAGCGUGGGGAGCAAACGGG